UUGCAGCAUUUCAAUUAUUUGUUUCUCAUAUGUAGUGGGUCUUAUUCCCUUGAUUCAGCCCAAAACAAUGAAACCAGAUUUUUAGGGUUUCGUGUUCUUUGAUUCAGCCCAAAACAAACCAGAUUUGUGAAUCUUCGAUCCCGGCGUUUUCUCUUCUCAUCUAAUCAACGGAAACGUUUCGCCUGAUUGAUUCAUCAUACUCCUUGACUCCAUGACCCCUCGGUAUCUACUUCUAUAAAAGUUUGUAGUCAGGCCGUUGUUCUUCAACCAUGGAGGUGAGAUUGCUCAGAUGCUGGAAAGCCUGAAACCUCAAACGCGGAUCGGCGUGGAUAUUCUCAUACUGUUUUUGAAUUGGUGGUCAUAGUUAGGUUAAACUAUUUCGGCGUGUAAUCUUAACAUUAGCAAGGUUUUGAAUUUAGAUCUUUGUUAGGUGUUUCUGUUCGUAAACUUCUAUUAAUAGUGUUCUUAAUGAUUUUGUUUUUUUCUAAAUCAUGUUCAUAUUGUUCUUAAACUAAACUCAUGUCAAAGUGUUCUUAACUCAUUUUCAUAUCAAUUUAUAAAUUGUUUGUUGAUUA